rnacentral:rRNA from 1 species
AUGGCCAUUUCAAAAUCUCUCAUCCUUGGUAUCCUUGGAUGCCUAUGCUUUUGUAGUUCGGUCCCAGCAACGCGUGAGCUCAGUGAUGACUUUUCAAUGGGGCACUCCAGGAGAGCUGGAUGUGUUGGGUUCAUCGAGUCAUUUAACACCGAGAACCACAAGUUUUAUUUGGGCAUCAAUCAGUUUACCGAGCUCACCAAUGAGGAGUUCAAGUCAACAACGGCUAACAAGGGGUACAAAACGAGCUUGGAGAGGGUUCCUACUGGAUUCAUGUAUGAGAACGUAAGUUUUGAUGCACUUCUGGCAACAGUAGACUGGAGACCAAAGGUGCAGCCACUCCCAUCAAGGAUCAGGGCCAAUGUGUGUAUCGUUAAGCUCAAAACUGGCAAGCUUAUCUCACUUUCGGAGCAAGAGUUGGUAGAUUGUGAUGUCCAUGGUGAAGACCAGGGUUGUGAAGGCAGGCUCAUGGAUGAUGCAUUUAACUUCAUAAUCAAGAAUGGCGGUCUCACCACCGAGUCCAACUAUCCAUAUACCUCGGAAUAUGAUAAGUGCAAUAGUGGAACCAAUGGUGCUGCAACCAUUCAAAGUUAUGAGGAUGUUCCAGCCAACAACGAAGGUGCCCUCAUGCAAGUUGUUGCAAGCCAACAUGUCUCAGUAGCCUUAGAUGGAGGAGAUAUGACUUUCCAGUUUUACAAAGGCAGAGUGAUGACAGGCUCAUGUGGCACAGACCUGGAUCAUGGUAUUGCGGCUAUUGGUUAUGGAAAGACCAACAAUUACACAAAAUAUUGGUUGUUGAAGAAUUCAAGGGGAACAACAUGGGGCGAGAACGGAUAUUUAAGAACAGAGAAGGAUAUUCCCGACAAGAUUGGCAUGUGUGGCUUGCGAUGGAGCCUUCUUACCCCACUGCAUAGAAGAGCGUCCUCUGGCACAUAUGUUCGCAUGCACAUGAUCAAUUAA